rnacentral:sRNA from 1 species
UGAUCGACAUUCUUUUGUUCUCAUUUUAACAUAUUUCAAAUAAAAGAAAAAGGCAAGUCUUACUUGCCUUUAUU